GGUAGCCUACGGGGCGCAGCAGUGGGGAAUAUUGCACAAUGGGCGAAAGCCUGAUGCAGCAACGCCGCGUGAAGGAAGAAGGGUUUCGGCUCGUAAACUUCUAUCAACAGGGACGAAAGAAAUGACGGUACCUGAAUAAGAAGCCCCGGCUAACUACGUGCCAGCAGCCGCGGUAAUACGUAGGGGGCAAGCGUUAACCGGAAUUACUGGGUGUAAAGGGUGAGUAGGCGGCAUGGGAAGCCAGAUGUGAAAGCCCUGGGCUUAACCCGAGGAUUGCAUUUGGAACUAACAAGCUUGAGAACAGG
rnacentral:rRNA from 1 species